rnacentral:lncRNA from 1 species
CCUCAGGCCCCGAACGUCCGCGGCGCCAGCAGCCACCUGGGAGGCAAUGUGACAAGCGGUCAGCUGCCUCCAGCCUCGCCCCUCCUCUGCCUGGGAGGGGACAAGGGGAGAACCAGAAGUCCCUCGUGGGGAUACGUCCUUGUGGGCGGUGCCACCUUGCCCGGGCUCGGCCCUGUUAGACGCAAAGCCAUACUCCCUGGUUUCCUCACCAGGUGGAGAUGCUAUGGGCGCUGUCACUGCAUCUGAUGGCUCCACCCCUACCCAAGAUAGCAGAGGGAGGUGGCAAAAAGUCUUACUCUUUAAUGUAUAAGCCACAGAUACAGUACAUAAACUGAUAGGCACUUUAUCUGUGCUUAUUAAAAUUUCAUGGGGGCAAUUAGGAAAAAGUUUAAAAAGGCUCCUUAGGUAGAUGAUAAUGAAUAAAAGAUUGAGAAACACUGGACUAGACUGAUGAGAAAAGAGAAACACUAAGGUGUAUGCUGGUAAAAAUUUUGAACUCUAAGGAGAAAGAGAAGAAUCUUACAAACAUCCAGCUAAAAACAACAUUUUAUGUAGCAAAGAAGAAGCAAGCUGGAAUUAUAUUUUUCAUCUCUAAGGCUGAAACUAAGACAGUGGAAUGGCAAUUAAAGACUACUGACACCCAGCCUACACCCCAGCCAAGAUGUGGCUCAUCUGGUAGGGUGACAGAAAGAUACACAGCAAUUCAGAGAGUCUAUCUCUCACGUGCUCACUGAGCAAAAUACGCGAGAGCAGACUUUCCAAACGUUAUCACUUAUGUGAACCAAAACAAGAAUUCAGGAGGAAUGUGAAGAAAAGAAAGGAAACAGAGGCAAGCACUGAAGCUCGGACUAAAUAUUUAAAUAAUUUAUUAUGAAGUCUAAUGGAAAAAGAAGAAUGGAAAACACAACUGUAUUUGAAGAAAUAAUAAAGCAGAAGGAGGCUUCCCUCUGUUUCUGGAUUCCCUUGAGAAUCAUGAAUUCAAGAAAAUCAAAUGCAGAAAAUGCUGUGUUUUGUAACUCCUCAAAUAUUAUCAGCAGGGAUGUUUUCCAGCAGUUGAUUUCUUGCAUUGGGGAGUAAUUUUAUUAAUUAAUGGGCAAUAUAAUGUACAUCUUCCUGUGAUUUAUACCUUUACAUUUCCAGAACAUCAAUAGCAUAUUAAAAAACAUGCAACCAUACUUGUAAUUAUAUGUCUAAUUGAAUGAGGUGUAAGCUUGGGAAAUUUAAACACAUUUUUCACAAGCAUGUCCUGAGGUCAUUGGAGAGGCCGGU